rnacentral:lncRNA from 1 species
CCCCAUGGGGUCCCCAAUGUUCUCCUUGGGGUCCCCAAUGUCCCCUAUGGGUUCUCCAAGGGGACCCCAAUGUUCUCCAUGGGGUUCCUGAUGUUCUCCAUGGGGUUCCUGGUGUCCCCUAUGGGUUCUCCAAGAGGACCCCAACCUUCUUUAGGGUCCCUUAUGUUCCCCAUGGGGUCCCCAACGUUCUCCUUGGGGUCCCUGAUGUCCCCUAUGGGUUCUCCAAGGGGACCCCAAUGUUCUCCUUGGGGUUCCUGAUGUCCCCCAUGGGGUCCCCGAUGUCCCCAUGGGGUCCCCAAUGUUCUUGGGGUCCCCGACGUUCUCCCCGGGUUCCCUGGUGUCCCCCUGACGCUGUCCCCAUCUCGUCCCCAGUGCCACCACCAUGCCGCACCAGUACCCGGCGCUCACCCCCGAGCAGAAGCAGGAGCUCGCCGACAUCGCCCGGCGCAUCGUGGCCCCCGGCAAGGGCAUCCUAGCUGCCGAUGAGUCCACUGGUGGGCACUGGGAUGAACUGGGAGGGCACUGGGAGGGACUGGGGGGGGCUGGGAGGGACUGGUUUGGGGCUGGGAGGGACUGGUGGGCGCUGGGAGGGGGUUGACGGGCACUGGGAGGGCACUGGGAGCUGCUGGGAGCUACUGGGAGGCACUGGGGCACCACCAAGAGCCCAGGAGGACGUACUGGGACAUACUGGAUCAUACUGGGACAUACUGGGAUGGCUUCAAGGAGGAUGGGGAGGUGGCCAAGAACCUCGAGGUGGUACCAGGAGGUCCAUGAGAGCUCCUGGGAAGGCACUGGGAGCUACUGGGAGGCACUGGGGCACCAACAGGAGCCCAGGGGGACAUACUAGGACAUACUGGGAUGUACUAGGUCAUACUGGGACAUACUGGGACGGCUUCAAGGAGGAUGGGGAAGUGGCUGAGAACCUUGAGGUGGCACCAGGAGGUCCAUAAGACCUCCUGGGAAGGCACUGGGAGCUACUGGGAGGCGCUGGGGCACCACCAAUAGUCCAGGCGGACAUACUAGGACAUACUGGGAUGUACUGGGUCAUACUGGGACAUACUGGUACAGCUUCAAGGAGGAUGGGGAAGUGGCUGAGAACCUUGAGGUGGCACCAGGAGGUCCAUGAGAGCUCCUGGGAAGGCACCGAGAGCUACUGGUAGGCACUGGGGCACCACCAAUAGUCCAGGGGGACAUACUGGGUCAUACUGGGAUGUACUGGUUCAUACUGGGACAUACUGGUACGGCUUUAGAGAGGAUGGGGAAGUGUCUGAGAACCUCGAGGUGGCACCAGGAGGUCCACGAGAGCUCCUGGGAAGGCACUGGGAGGCACUGGGGCACCACCAAUAGUUCAGGGGGACAUACUGGGUCACACUGGGAUGUACUGGGUCACACUGGGAUGUACU